rnacentral:rRNA from 1 species
AUGAAGGGGCUAGCGGAUGAGCUUGCUGCUGUAGGAAAGCCCCUCGAUGAGGAUGAUAUCGUCUCGCACAUGCUCGAGGGUCUCAUGCACGAGCCCGACUACAAUGGGUUCGUCACCUCCAUCUCCAUGCGCGCUGCCACCGAUCGGCCGAUCGGUCUCAGCAAACUCUUCUCGCUGCUGCUCUCUGCGCAGGCCCGGAUCGCCGCCCAGCACGCCGCCUACACCGCUCACCACUCCGCCACCCUCGCUGCGAAAGGUGGUCGUGGCGGCUACGGCGGCGGACGCGGUGGUCAGGGUGGUGGACGCGGUGGCUAUGGCGGCGGCAACUACUCCGACAACUCGGGCAAUGGUGGUGGUGGUGGUGCGCCGCGCCAACAGAUUAGUGACCGCGGUGACCGCGAGCGCUGCCAAAUCUACAAGGAGGAAGGCCAUGGUGUUGGCGCUGCAGGAAACAGUUCGAUAAAGGCUACAACAACAACGUGCGCAACCCCACAGGCGGCGGCGGUGGCGGCGGACGCGACAGCGGUGGGCGCGGUGGCGGCGGCGGUAGUGGUGGCAACCCUCGCUCCGCAAACUCUGCUCACUCCUACGAUGUGGAUACCAACUGGUAUCUCGACACUGGUGCCACUGAUCACGUUACCAGCGAGUUGGAGAAGCUAG